rnacentral:rRNA from 1 species
AUUGAACGCUGGCGGCAGGCCUAACACAUGCAAGUCGAACGCAGUGGGGACGGGUGAGUAACACGUGGGUAACCUCCCAUCAGAGGGGAUAACACUUGGAAACAGGUGCUAAACCGAUACUGAUGGAUGGACCCGCGGUGCAUUAGCUAGUGGGUGAGGUAACGGCUCACCAAGGCCACGAUGCAUAGCCGGCCUGAGAGGUUGAUCGGCCCAACUGGAACGGAGACACGGCCCAGACUCCUACGGGAGGCAGCAGUGGGGAAUAUUCGGCAAUGGGCGAAAGUCUGACCGAGCAACGCCGCGUGUGUGAAGAAGGUUUUCGGGUCGUAAAAUACUGUUAGUAGGGAGGCGGUAUCUAACCAGGAAGCCACGGCUAACUACGUGCCAGCAGCCGCGGUAAUAC